rfam:Gossypium raimondii Chr08_contig_435, whole genome shotgun sequence.
AAUGGAACAAUGUAGGCAAGGAAAGUCGGCAAAAUGGAUCUAUAACCUUGGGAAAAGGAUUGGCUCUAAGGUCUGGGCACGAGGGUCCCAGUCCCAAACCCGUAGGCUAUCGGUACACUACUCGAGCUGCUCCCGCGGCUAGAGGGGGUUGCUGCGUGCCGGCCGGGGGACGGACUGGGAACGGCACCCUCGGGGGCCUUCCCCGGGCGACGAACAGUCUACUCAGAAUUGGUACAGACAAAGGGAAUCCAACUGUUUAAUUAAAACAAAUCAUUGCGAUGGUCUCUGCAGAUGCUCAUGCAAUCUGAUUUCUACCUAGUGCUCUGAAUGUCAAAGUGAAGAAUUUCAACCAAGCGCGGCUAAACGACAGGAGUAACUAUGACUCUCUUAAGCGUGGCCUAUCGAUUUUUUAGACCUUCGGAAUAAGAAGCUAGAUGUGUUAGAAAUUUUACCACAUGCAUAACUGGCUUGUGGCAGCCGAGCGUUCAUAGCGACGUUGCUGUUUGGUCCUUCGAUGUCGACUCUUCCUAUCAUUGUGAAGCAGAAUCCACCAAGUAUUGGAUUGUUCACCCACCAAUAAGAAACGUGAGCUGGGUUUAGACCGUCGUGAGAUAGGUUAGUUUUACCCUACAGAUGGGCGCAUCAUAAUAGUAAUUCAACCUAGUACAAGAGGAACCGUUGAUUCGUACAAUUGGUUAUUGCGCUUGGUUGAAAAGCCAGUGGCGCAAAGUUACCAUGCGUUGGAUUAUGACUGAACAGUUCUAAGUCAAAAUCUGGGCUAGAAGUGACGCACGCGCCCGUCGCCCGAUUGCCGACCCGCAGUAGGGGCCUCUGGCCCCUAAGGGCACGUGUCGUAGGUGCAGCGACCGCGGCAGACAAUUCACAGGCGCCUCCCUGGAGCGUAAUUCCCACCGAGCGGCGGGUAGAAUCAUUUGCAGAUGACAUAAAUACACGACGGGGUAUUGUAAGUAGCAGAGUGGCCUUGCUGCCACGAUCCACUGAGAUUCAGCCCUUUUGUCGCUUCGAUUC